rnacentral:rRNA from 1 species
UACGAAGGGGGCUAGCGUUGUUCGGAAUUACUGGGCGUAAAGCGCACGUAGGCGGAUAUUUAAGUCAGGGGGUGAAAUCCCCAGAGCUCAACUCUGGAACUGCCUUUGAUACUGGGUAUCUGGAGUAUGGAAGAGGUGAGUGGAAUUCCGAGUGUAGAGGUGAAAUUCGUAGAUAUUCGGAGGAACACCAGUGGCGAAGGCGGCGAGCUGGUCCAUUACUGACGCUGAGGCGCGACAGCGUGGGGAGCAAACAGG